rnacentral:rRNA from 1 species
ACGCCUAACACAUGCAAGUCGAACGCAGUAGCAAUACUGAGUGGCAAACGGGUGAGUAUAAUGUAGGAAUCUGCCUUUUGGUUUGGAAUAACACGGGGAAACUUGUGCUAAUACCGAAUAAGCCUUUACAGGGAAAGUUUUAACGCCGAAAGAUGAGCCUGCACUUGAUUAGCUAGUUGGUAAGGUAAAAGCUUACCAAGGCAACGAUCAAUAGCUGUUCUUAGAGGAAGACCAGCCACAUUGGGACUGAGACACGGCCCAGACUCCUACGGGAGGCAGCAGUGGGGAAUCUUGCACAAUGGGGGAAACCCUGAUGCAGCGAUGCCGCGUGAGUGAAGAAGGCCUUUGGGUUGUAAAACUCUUUCGUCGGGGAAGAAAAUGACUGUACCCGAAUAAGAAGGUCCGGCUAACUUCGUGCCAGCAGCCGCGGUAAUA